AUGGCCGACGCAGGAGGAAGUCGCCGCGGGCAGGGAAGACGCGCGAGUGGCCAGGGUCGCGGUCCAGGCUAUGGAGGCGCGGCUGGAGGCCGUGUCGCGGGAGGUGCUCGCCGCGAAGGCGUCGGCGAAGACCGCCGCGCCCAGUGCAGGAGCACACCACCGCGGCGCCCAUGGACUCGCCCAGCAGGAACCGAGGCAGCGGCAUCACUGGAAGGUCGCUACCACACCGUCAUGGCCAGCAGCCACUCCUCGCCGAUGUCCUAG
rnacentral:rRNA from 1 species